AAUAUAUAUACUGAAAAAUGAGUAGUAUAAUAUUUGACAGUAGCUUAUAGUAAGUUAAAUAUAUAUACUACAAAUCUUGGAGCAACGUACCUGUAGUCCCAGCUACUCAGGAGGCUGAGAAAGGAGGAUCACUUUAAGCCAAGGAGUUAACAUCUAGGAGACUGCAGUGAGCUAUGAUUGCACCACUGCACUCCAGCCUGAGCAGCAGAGUAAGACCACACUUAUCUCAAAAAAAUUUAUUACCUAUGUUAAUUCCACCAGUCUAGAAAGGUAUCCCACUCUUCUUUGCUUAUCCAAUUAUUAUUUAUUUUUUACAAAUCAUUCAUCAAAUCUCAAGCUUCCCAUGAAGCUUUCCUCAACUUUCUGAUCUAUACUGAUCUCUCCAAGAAAGACUCCCAGGCUACUCAGUAUCUGCUGUGUCUUUAUCUGUCUGGUAGUGUUUCCUGUCUUAUUUUCUCAAUGUGAAGUACCUUCACUGAUUUUCCCACAACAAAGCACAGGAGGUAUUUGUUCAAUUUGCCAGUUACAUUUGUUCAAUUGCAGUAUUUUGUACUUAUAUAAAGCAAAUGUUUUCCAAAAAAUUCAAGAUGUUCACAUAAACAUCCCCAUCUCCACCCAAAUUUUUAGUAAGACAGAGAACAAAUACAUGAUGAUAGCACUGCAUUUUGUUUUACUGGACAAAUAUGAAUUAUUUCUUUUAUGUUUCUUUGAAAUACUGUAAUAUUUCACCCAAUCAGAAAACUCCUCUGGCAACCUUGUCUAUCUGAAACACAGUCCAAAAACAGGAAAUGAAAAAAAAAAUACCUUUGAACAGCAAA
rnacentral:lncRNA from 10 species